AACGAACGCUGGCGGCGUGCCUAACACAUGCAAGUCGAACGAGAAAGGGGCUUCGGCUCCGAGUAAAGUGGCGCACGGGUGAGUAACACGUGGGUAACCUGCCUCUAAGAUUGGGAUAACUCGUCGAAAGAUGAGCUAAUACCGAAUAAGACCACAGUUCCCGCGGGAACAGGGGUCAAAGGUAGCCUCUGCUUGCAAGCUAUCACUUAGAGAUGGGCCUGCGCACCAUUAGCUAGUUGGUAGGGUAACGGCCUACCAAGGCAAAGAUGGUUAGCUGGUCUGAGAGGAUGAUCAGCCACACUGGAACUGAGACACGGUCCAGACUCCUACGGGAGGCAGCAGUGGGGAAGAUUGCGCAAUGGGCGAAAGCUUGACGCAGCAACGCCGCGUGAGUGAUGAAGGCCUUCGGGUCGUAAAGCUCUGUCGGGAGGAACGAAUGCUCCUGAGGUUAACAGCCUCGGGAGGUGACGGUACCUUCAAAGGAAGCACCGGCUAACUCUGUG
rnacentral:rRNA from 1 species